rnacentral:rRNA from 1 species
UGUUUAGGUUGCUUGGCGAGGUCACUGCUCUACUCAAAGUCCUGUUAUGAAUACGGUUUAUGGACAUGGCCCAAAGAGGGUGAAAGGCCCGUGUGAGUAGAGUCUGGCGGUGGCUUCCUAGGCUAACCUUGGAGUCGGGUUGUUUGGGAAUGCAGCCCAAAGUGGGUGGUAAACUCCAUCCAAGGCUCAAUACCGUCACGAGUCCGAUAGCGAACAAGUACCGUGAGGGAAAGUUGAAAAGUACUCUGAAGAGAGAGUAAACAGCACGUGAAACCGCUCAGAGGUAAACGGGCAGAGUUGAACUGCAAGCCUGAAAGAUUCAGCUGAUGAGCGUGGUUUGGGCUUGGUCAUGUUGGUCUGACUUGAAGGUCUGCUCGAGCGCAGGUUGCUGCCUUUGGUGGCAAUUCGCGAUGUGCUUGUCAGGUGUUGCGUGCCUUUCUGGUCGGAGGCCAGUUCGUCAGUGCACUUCUUUCCGGUGUUCACCACGACCGACGCUGUCGUCUGUCGGCUGUGGCCGAACCAGGGUGGCUUGGUCCUUGGGCCUUGUUGCUUUGGGAUGGCAGGUAGCUUGGAUGACAAUUUAGUCUUCCAGUGUAAUAGCUGGUCGCAGCUGAACAGUGCGAUGCGUCGGAGACGGCGGCUGUUGCAAUGUGUGCUGCUGCAAUUGUUGAAGUCGGAUCUGGUUGUCAUGUUGCUUGCUUAAGCAGGCCUGGUGGUGGUUCGUCUUCUUGCAGUUGUCAGUUUCUAACGUUGCGCUAAAUGAGCCAACAGUCUGUGGUGUAGUGGUAAGCUCUCUACCCGACCCGUCUUGAAACACGGACCAAGGAGUUUAACAUGUACGCGAGUCAUUGGGUUGUCGAAACCUACAGGCGUAGUGAAGGUGAAGGUUUGGCUCGUCCGAACUGAGGUGAGAUCUUGUCGUUUCUCAUGCGUGAUACUACCAAGCAUUUGAGCGGCAGGCGCAUCACCGGCCCGUCUCAUGGUGUGGUCAUAGUUCCUUCGGGACUGUGCAUCACUGGGGUGGAGCAUGAGCGUACACGUUGAGACCCGAAAGAUGGUGAACUAUGCUUGUGCAGGUUGAAGCCAGAGGAAACUCUGGUGGAGGACCGCAGCGAUUCUGACGUGCAAAUCGAUCGUCAAAC